AAAUGAAAACAAUUAAAAUUUGUUUACUGGGCUUUUCUUGGCGCGCCCGCCACAUCAAAAUUGUUUCUGUGACCGUGUUAAACACACCGUAGAUAUAUGUAUAUAUAUAGUGAAAUGGCAGAAAACACUUAAAUACACAUAUCAAAAUAAACAUCCACCCACAGUAAAUGAACAAUAGCCAAACAACCAGCAACAGCUGACGCAAUCUGAUGCAACAUUACACAAUUGCAAUUUCAUCAAACAUUGCAAACAACAAAACAAAAAACGCACAGUUUAAAAAUUAUAGCGAAACUGGUUUGUUCGCUUCAGCGGAUAUUACAAAAAUUGCGAAAUAUUCUAUAUAUGUCAUGUGUUUGGAUUCCCAUCGAGAACAACGCGUACAAGGGACAUCCGGAUGUAGUCGUUUGUGAAGUUUCCAGCAACUUUGAUGCCAAUAAAUUCCACAUUCACCGCAUCGACGAAUUUUACGAUGCCAAGGAUAAAUGAGAUUGUUGCUUCUACAAUGCUCGCAGACAAAAGCACGACCAGUGCAGAGCUGAAAGUAGGAAUAAGGAUUGAAUUCAGACAUGCUUUUCGCUUAGUUCGAUCAGUUCUUCAAUAGAUCUUGCCAUACUGCCA